rnacentral:rRNA from 1 species
AUUGAACGCUGGCGGCAGGCCUAACACAUGCAAGUCGAACGAGUAGCGGACGGGUGAGUAAUGUCUGGGAAACUGCCUGAGGGGGGGGGAUAACUACUGGAAACGGUAGCUAAUACCGCCUACCAUCGGAUGUGCCCAGAUGGGAUUAGCUAGUAGGUGGGGGAAAGGCUAACCUAGGCGCCGAGCCCUAGCUGGUCUGAGAGGAUGACACGCCACACUGGAACUGAGAUACGGUCCAGACUCCUACGGUAGGCAGCAGGGGGGAAUAUUGCACAAUGGGCGCAAGCCUGAUGCAGCCAUGCCGCGUGUAUGAAGAAGGCCUUCGGGUUGUAAAGUACUUUCAGCGAGUAGGCGUUACUCGCAGAAGAAGCACCGGCUAACGCCGUGCCAGCAGCCGCGGUAAUAC